GACGAACGCUGGCGGCGUGCUUAACACAUGCAAGUCGAACGGUGAAGCGCCUUCCUUUUUGGGUGGUGUGGAUGAGUGGCGGACGGUUGAGUAACACUUGAGUAACCUUCCCCCUUCGUCUGGAUAACCGCAUGAAAGUUUGUCUAAUACAGGAUAUUCUGCUUCUGUCUCGUGAUGGGUCUGGUUAAGAUGUUGGGUCUGUGGUGGAUGCGCUCGCGGCCGAUCAGCUUGUUGGUGGGGUGAUGGCCUACCAAGGCUGUGACGGGUAGCCGGCCUGAGGGGGUGGCCGGCCAGACUGGGAGUGCGACACGGCCCAGACUCAGACGGGAGGCAGCAGUGGGGAAUAGUGCACAAUGGGGGAAAGCCUGAUGCAGCGACGAGGCGGGAGGGAUGGAGGCCUUCGGGUUGUGAACCUCUUUCGCCAGUGAAGCAGGCCUGCCUCGUUUGUGGGUGGGUUGACGGUAGCUGGAUAAGAAGCGCCGGCUAACUACGUG
rnacentral:rRNA from 1 species